rnacentral:rRNA from 1 species
UACAGAGGGUGCGAGCGUUGUCCGGAAUCACUGGGCGUAAAGGGCGCGUAGGCGGCUUGAUAAGGUUGCGGUGAAAGCCCGCGGCUCAACUGCGGGUCGGCCACCGAUACUCCAGGGCUCGAGUUUGGUAGAGGCAGAUGGAAUUCCGGGUGUAGCGGUGGAAUGCGUAGAGAUCCGGAAGAACACCGGUGGCGAAGGCGGUCUGC